AGGAGGGUGGGAGGAGGAAACCGAGAGUGAGGGUACUGAGGUGGGGGGAGAUACCCCAGAGUCCCUGGAGGUAUGCAGCCAUGAGCUCUUCUCAAGCCUGGAGGAAGCAAGCCA